AGAGUUUGAUCCUGGCUCAGGAUGAACGCUGACAGAAUGCUUAACACAUGCAAGUCAACUUGAACUUCGGUUUGGGUGGCGGACGGGUGAGUAACGCGUAAAGAACUUGCCUCACAGAUAGGGACAACAUUUGGAAACGAAUGCUAAUACCUAAUAUUAUGAUUUUAGGGCAUCCUAGGAUUAUGAAAGCUAUAUACGCUGUGAGAGAGCUUUGCGUCCCAUUAGCUAGUUGGAGAGGUAACGGCUCACCAAGGCGAUGAUGGGUAGCCGGCCUGAGAGGGUGAUCGGCCACAAGGGGACUGAGACACGGCCCUUACUCCUACGGGAGGCAGCAGUGGGGAAUAUUGGACAAUGGACCAAGAGUCUGAUCCAGCAAUUCUGUGUGCACGAUGAAGUUUUUCGGAAUGUAAAGUGCUUUCAGUUGGGAAGAAAAAAAUGACGGUACCAACAGAAGAAGUGACGGCUAAAUACGUGCCAGCAGCCGCGGUAAUACGUAUGUCACAAGCGUUAUCCGGAUUUAUUGGGCGUAAAGCGCGUCUAGGUGGUUAUAUAAGUCUGAUGUGAAAAUGCAGGGCUCAACUCUGUAUUGCGUUGGAAACUGUGUAACUAGAGUACUGGAGAGGUAAGCGGAACUACAAGUGUAGAGGUGAAAUUCGUAGAUAUUUGUAGGAAUGCCGAUGGGGAAGCCAGCUUACUGGACAGAUACUGACGCUGAAGCGCGAAAGCGUGGGUAGCAAACAGGAUUAGAUACCCUGGUAGUCCACGCCGUAAACGAUGAUUACUAGGUGUUGGGGGUCGAACCUCAGCGCCCAAGCAAACGCGAUAAGUAAUCCGCCUGGGGAGUACGUACGCAAGUAUGAAACUCAAAGGAAUUGACGGGGACCCGCACAAGCGGUGGAGCAUGUGGUUUAA
rnacentral:rRNA from 1 species